rnacentral:rRNA from 1 species
UACCAGCACCCCGAGUGGUCGGGACGUUUAUUGGGCCUAAAGCAUCCGUAGCCGGUUCUACAAGUCUUCCGUUAAAUCCACCUGCUUAACAGAUGGGCUGCGGAAGAUACUAUAGAGCUAGGAGGCGGGAGAGGCAAGCGGUACUCGAUGGGUAGGGGUAAAAUCCGUUGAUCCAUUGAAGACCACCAGUGGCGAAGGCGGCUUGCUAGAACGCGCUCGACGGUGAGGGAUGAAAGCUGGGGGAGCAAACCGG